GAUGAACGCUAGCGGCAGGCCUAAUACAUGCAAAUCGAACGGUGUCUUCGGACAUAGUGGCGCACGGGUGCGUAACACGUAUGCAACCUACCUUACAUUGGGGGAUAGCCUUUCGAAAGGGAGAUUAAUACCGCAUAAGACAGUAGCUGGGCAUCCAGCAGCUGUUAAAGAUUUAUCGAUGUAAGCUGGGCAUGCGUCCAAUUAGCUAGUUGGUGAGGUAACGGCUCACCAAGGCAAUGAUUGGUAGGGGAACUGAGAGGUCAAUCCCCCACACUGGCACUGGGAUACGGGCCAGACUCCUACGGGAGGCAGCAGUAGGGAAUAUUGGGCAAUGGACGUAAGUCUGACCCAGCCAUGCCGCGUGCAGGAUGAAGGCGUUAUGCGUUGUAAACUGCUUUUAUACAGGAAGAAACGACUCUUGCGAGAGGCAUUGACGGUACUGUAUGAAUAAGCACCGGCUAACUCCGUGCCAGCCGCCGCGGUAAUAC
rnacentral:rRNA from 1 species